GAGCUUUGAAGGCUCUGACGAACCCUU
rnacentral:piRNA from 1 species